rnacentral:rRNA from 1 species
UGCAGUCGAGCGGUAGAGAGAAGCUUGCUUCUCUUGAGAGCGGCGGACGGGUGAGUAAUGCCUAGGAAUCUGCCUGGUAGUGGGGGAUAACGUCCGGAAACGGACGCUAAUACCGCAUACGUCCUACGGGAGAAAGCAGGGGACCUUCGGGCCUUGCGCUAUCAGAUGAGCCUAGGUCGGAUUAGCUAGUUGGUGGGGUAAUGGCUCACCAAGGCGACGAUCCGUAACUGGUCUGAGAGGAUGAUCAGUCACACUGGAACUGAGACACGGUCCAGACUCCUACGGGAGGCAGCAGUGGGGAAUAUUGGACAAUGGGCGAAAGCCUGAUCCAGCCAUGCCGCGUGUGUGAAGAAGGUCUUCGGAUUGUAAAGCACUUUAAGUUGGGAGGAAGGGCAGUAAAUUAAUACUUUGCUGUUUUGACGUUACCGACAGAAUAAGCACCGGCUAACUCUGUGCCAGCAGCCGCGGUAAUACAGAGGGUGCAAGCGUUAAUCGGAAUUACUGGGCGUAAAGCGCGCGUAGGUGGUUCGUUAAGUUGGAUGUGAAAUCCCCGGGCUCAACCUGGGAACUGCAUUCAAAACUGACGAGCUAGAGUAUGGUAGAGGGUGGUGGAAUUUCCUGUGUAGCGGUGAAAUGCGUAGAUAUAGGAAGGAACACCAGUGGCGAAGGCGACCACCUGGACUGAUACUGACACUGAGGUGCGAAAGCGUGGGGAGCAAACAGGAUUAGAUACCCUGGUAGUCCACGCCGUAAACGAUGUCAACUAGCCGUUGGGAGCCUUGAGCUCUUAGUGGCGCAGCUAACGCAUUAAGUUGACCGCCUGGGGAGUACGGCCGCAAGGUUAAAACUCAAAUGAAUUGAC